rnacentral:rRNA from 1 species
UACGUAGGGAGCAAGCGUUGUCCGGAUUUACUGGGUGUAAAGGGUGCGUAGGCGGCUUUGCAAGUCAGAAGUGAAAUCCAUGGGCUUAACCCAUGAACUGCUUUUGAAACUGCAGAGCUUGAGUGGAGUAGAGGUAGGCGGAAUUCCCGGUGUAACGGUGAAAUGCGUAGAGAUCGGGAGGAACACCAGUGGCGAAGGCGGCCUGCUGGGCUCUAACUGACGCUGAGGCACGAAAGCGUGGGUAGCAAACAGG